AGAGAAAAUGUGCAUAUUUUCUAAAGGUCUCUUGAUCAAAACCUCUGCCCCCAUCGUUGUGAACCUCACACAUAGCUCUAGCUUUUCUUUCUGAACUCAUUAGGAACUCGCCUUUCAUCUCAUAAUAAUCUUGUCCGUCUAUGACAAACAAAGUGUUUUUUGUUUUAAAUUCAUGAAUUCUUUUAGAUUACUGGGUAUGAAUCGAACUCUGAAUGUGCUACAGCCACGAAACCACUCUAUCGCGCGAGGGCUGCAGGAGCUUCUGAAGCGCGCAGAAAGUGGAGCACGGAGAACACAACGCACGCAUGCUCAUCUAUGAUGUUGCUCAGAUUAUUGCAAUCGAUUUUCAUUACUGAACUCGGAGACAAACACACUUCACAAGAUAUGCCUACUCUAUUUCUCCGGAGCUAAAAUCCUGUCAUGAGCAGUAGUUUACACAUUUUCGAAAUAGAGACGCAUAAAUAGGACACAACGUGAGGAAGACUAGGCAGCCAAACCAACCGUGAGUGAGACAACAUUUGGUCACAAUUUGAAAAUUCAAACAUUCGAACUCGAAAAGGGGGCAGGGUACGUUUUCUGAACCCGUCCAAAACGAUGGAGUUACAUAACUUCAGAAAACAACGCCAGUUUGUGGGCAAGGCAAGCCCACUAGAUGCUAAUCAACCAAGGGGCACACACACCCCUCUAUCGUCAACGCCCCCUCCACAAUCUCCCUCCCGGAUAGGUCCAGGCAGAGAUGGAAAAAACAACAACAAGGGCUUUAAAAACAUCCACAUUGUUCCGUCCAUCAGUAACAUCUGGUCAUCCAACCGGGGUACUGUGGCUACAUUCUCCUGUUUUCCGGCGCAUUUUUUAUUCUCCUCCAUCUCCGGGGAGGACAGAAAUCAAAGUUUAUAGUUCUUUCUUGCGUGAACCCAAAACGCGAACAUGCCCAGCAAGAGGAAGAAGAACAAGCGCCGCAUGAGAAGGGUGGCCAUACUCAUUCCUGAGGCCCCUGUGUCAGCUCUUGCUGAAUUUAAGGUCCAGGUCGAAAACUACGUAGUCAUUACCACAGAGAUCGCACAGACUCAUGACGAGCCGUGGCUCGAGGCUGAAGUGGAGGCUGAAAUAGUUGACGAGGUCCAAGCGAAAGUAGAGGCAGUAGUUGAGGAAGAACCAGAGCCCGAUCCCGUGGUCAAGGCCGAAGCUGCCCCAGUUGUAGAAGCUGAACUUGAAGAGUCGGGAAUCAAAGACGGAGACAAUCCUAUCGUCAAAGCUGAAGCCAUUCCUGAAGAUAUUGAUGCAGAAAAGCAUGAGACUGUUAUGACAGAGGCACCUGAAGAGGUUCCAGUGGUGCCCGCAGUCCCAACGGAUUCACUUGACGCCCUAUCGGAGUUGCUGAACGACAUCACUCUAGUCACUGAGCCCGCCCCUGUCACAGCUGAUAAAGUCAUUGACGAGCCAGAGUGUGAGGAGAAAGAGGUGAGAGACGACGUACUUCCACCCGAUUACCGGCCCUGCUCGGAGGACCUGCUGGCUAAAGAGGAAAUUGAAGCCCAGAUGGAAAUCGAGGCUAAAAAGGAUGCCAUAGAUGAGAAGACAGUCCUUCACGUCAUCUCUGGAGAUUUAUCUGCCCCCGACCCUGUCAUCUCAGAACUGCAGUGUCACACGCAGCUCGCCGCCCCCAAGGAUAUCCCAGCAGAGGCAGUGCUAAAUGGACAGAUGGCAGCUGAGGUGGCCAUUGAGGGAUAGAUCUCUAUGGAUUUCCUUAGUCAGUAUGAAGGACUGAAGAGAGCCUGACGGUGAGCCGACCAGCGAACUUUACUUUUCAUUUUUUAGGGCUUAAAGGGACCGCUGGGAAAUUUGACAGACAUCCAACAAUCAGUGCCUUUCUUGCUUGGGUUCUUACAAAAAAAAUAUUAAACAAGUUUAAAAUGCGAUAUGAAGGUGGGGGAAUAAGACUCUUUUUUUAAAAACCAGAAUGUGAGAAUUUGGAAUAAACAAAUGAUGGCUUUCAUAGAUUUCUGUAUCCCAUUGCAUGUAUUGUAGAUUUGCAUCAAUUGUAAAUGGCAUGCAUUGUGUAUGAAUACUGUAGAAUUGAUGAAUGUGGCAAUGGCUUGUCUUCACAUUUGGACCAUGUUUGUAUGGAUGAGAGGGAUUAAUUCCUUGUACAUGUUUCCUGUUUUAACCUGGUUUGACUCCUUUUUGCGAAGGGACAGUAUCGCAGUUUGUACAGUACCAUAGCUACCCCCUCUUCUCCCUAUCACCAUUGUGGUACUUUUGUUUUUUCAGGGACUGUAUGAUGACAGCUCCACCCUCUUUAUUGUGUAGUGUCAGUGUGUCUACAGUCCCAAGUCUGUCCUGGGCAAUGUGAAAUGGUGUGUAGUUUUAGGUCCUCUGACCAGAUGCUCUUAACAUUUAAUUACCUACGCUGCCAACUGAAAACAGAGUACGGGGCCUGUAGAUCCUGUUUUUCUAAUUCUGUUUUGUAUAGACCAUAUGAUGUGGUACAACCGCUGUUUGUGUUCAGUUACGUGCUUUGGAAGAGACCAUGGAGUUGUCAUGUAAUUGAGGAGCUGGGUUGGAUUUCAUUCACCUUUUUGAAUAAAGAUGUUACUCACCAAGUCCUUGAUUCAGUUGUUGGCCUGUGUUCUACAUUCCUUAG
rnacentral:lncRNA from 1 species